CCAUACGACCGUACCGCAAACCGACACUGGUGCGCGAGAUGAGUAUUCUAAGGCGCUUGAGAGAACUCAGGAGAAGGAACUCGGCAAAUUGACACCGUAACUUCGGAAGAAGGUGUGCCCUAUUAGUGUGUAGUGAACAACGAAGCAUGAAUGGGUUGCAAAAAAUCGGUGGCUGCGACUGUUUAUUAAAAGCACAGCACUCUGCAAACACGAAAGUGGACCUAUAGGGUGUGACGCCUGCCCGGUGCUGGAAGAUUAAAUGAUGGGGUGCAAGCUCUUGAUUGAAGUCCCAGUAAACGGCGGCCGUAACUAUAACGGUCCUAAGGUAGCGAAAUUCCUUGUCGGGUAAGUUCCGACCUGCACGAAUGGCGUAACGAUGGCCACACUGUCUCCUCCUGAGACUCAGCGAAGUUGAAAUGUUUGUGAUGAUGCAAUCUCCCCGCGGAAAGACGGAAAGACCCCAUGAACCUUUACUGUAGCUUUGUAUUGGACUUUGAACAGAUCUGUGUAGGAUAGGUGGGAGGCUUUGAAGCAGGGUCGCUAGAUCUUGUGGAGCCAACGUUGAAAUACCACCCUGGUGUGUUUGAGGUUCUAACCUAGGUCCAUUAUCUGGAUCGGGGACAGUGCAUGGUAGGCAGUUUGACUGGGGCGGUCUCCUCCCAAAGCGUAACGGAGGAGUUCGAAGGUACGCUAGUUACGGUCGGACAUCGUGACGAUAGUGCAAUGGCAUAAGCGUGCUUAACUGCGAGACUGACAAGUCGAGCAGAUGCGAAAGCAGGACAUAGUGAUCCGGUGGUUCUGUAUGGAAGGGCCAUCGCUCAACGGAUAAAAGGUACUCUGGGGAUAACAGGCUGAUACCGCCCAAGAGUUCAUAUCGACGGCGGUGUUUGGCACCUCGAUGUCGGCUCAUCUCAUCCUGGGGCUGUAGCCGGUCCCAAGGGUAUGGCUGUUCGCCAUUUAAAGAGGUACGUGAGCUGGGUUUAAAACGUCGUGAGACAGUUUUGUCCCUAUCUUCCGUGGGCGCUGCAGAUUUGAGGAAGCCUGCUCCUAGUACGAGAGGACCGGAGUGGACACACCUCUGGUGUAUCGGUUGUCACGCCAGUGGCAUUGCCGAGUAGCUAAGUGUGGAAGAGAUAACCGCUGAAAGCAUCUAAGCGGGAAACUCGUUUCAAGAUGAGAUCUGCCGGGGCCUUGAGCCCCCUAAAGAGUCGUUCAAGACCAGGACGUUGAUAGGUCAGGUGUGGAAGCUAAAAG
rnacentral:rRNA from 1 species